rnacentral:rRNA from 1 species
CUACGGGGGGCUGCAGUGAGGAAUAUUGCACAAUGGGGGGAACCCUGAUGCAGCAACACCGCGUGGAGGAUGACGCAUUUCGGUGUGUAAACUCCUUUUAUAUAUCAAGAAAAUGACGGUAGCAUAUGAAUAAGCACCGGCUAACUCCGUGCCAGCAGCCGCGGUAAUACGGAGGGUGCAAGCGUUACUCGGAAUCACUGGGCGUAAAGGAAGCGUAGGCGGGUUGGAAGGUCAGGUGUGAAAUCCUACAGCUUAACUGUAGAACUGCACUUGAAACUUCUAAUCUAGAGUAUGGGAGGGGGAGAUGGAAUUAGUGGUGUAGGGGUAAAAUCCGUAGAUAUCACUAGGAAUACCUAAAGCGAAGGCGAUCUCCUGGAACAUUACUGACGCUAAGGCGUGAAAGCGUGGGGAGCAAACAGGAUUAGAUACCCCAGUAGUC